GGGACUGCCAGCUGAGAUCAUUCUGGACCCAGAAGCAGGUUUGUGUCCCUGCUAACAAAAAAGAGCGACGCAGCAUCUGCCGCUUGUGUUCCUCUCCAGACACGCUCACAAUGCCGGAGGAAACGGGGGAGAAAAUUAUGCAAAUUGCUCUGAGCAGAUUACUUUGACCAGCUGCUCUUCUUCCUCCUCAAUCAAAGGUCUGCCUGGGAGAGCCAAUCUAGAUUAUAUAUGUCAGUCGCACGCUCCGAGGCUGAGCCGCUGCCUCGCCGCUCCUUUUCCCCAAACAGGGACGUUUCUGACAGCGAGAAAAUGUUUAUAAAAAGGAGACAGUGACAAAUAAACCCUG
rnacentral:lncRNA from 1 species